UCGCAAUCAAGCUUUAAACUUUAAUGAAAUAGUCUCAAUAUUAAAUAUUUUAAACUCGCACUCCAUCUCGAAAUAUAUACAAGAGAAACUUGAAUCAAUCAUUAAGUAAGUAUUGACAUAAGAGACAUAUCAUCUCGCUAGGUUUUUUCCUGUAAUCUAUGUAUGUAAAAGAACUGCGUCAAAUCAAUGUAUCACUCCGCCUCGAAACACAUGUAACAUUAGUUGUGAUUUCGCGGUGACUCAAUUAUCAUAAUGUCUGAAAUAAUUCCUGUUAUCUAUCAAACAAUAUCGGAAAACACCUUAAGGGGACAUAAUUUAAGAAAAAAAAAACAUUACAGAUAAUGUCUAUGAAUGAUAACAUUACAUUUAUGUUAAAAGUGGUAGUCGGCCAAGACACUGAGGAGUGGGAUGGGGGUGGGCGGAGAGAGAGGGGCGUCAAUUCAUCGACAGUUCAACACUAAAAGGGAGGUAAUUUUAAGCGUGUAAAAAGAACACCAGACUUCUAUUUUUCGUCCCCUUGUGGCCCCGGUUUGAAUGAAAAAUGUCUAUUGAUGUUUAUCAACUGACAUACUUACGUGUAUGAUACAAACGUAAGCCUCACUAAUGUGGGGGGGGAGGGGGGGC